rnacentral:rRNA from 1 species
AUUGAACGCUGGCGGCAGGCUAACACAUGCAAGUCGAACGNGUAACAGGAAGAAGCUUGCUUCUUUGCUGACGAGUGGCGGACGGGUGAGUAAUGUCUGGGAAACUGCCUGAUGGAGGGGGAUAACUACUGGAAACGGUAGCUAAUACCGCAUAACGUCGCAAGACCAAAGAGGGGGACCUUCGGGCCUCUUGCCAUCGGAUGUGCCCAGAUGGGAUUAGCUAGUAGGUGGGGUAACGGCUCACCUAGGCGACGAUCCCUAGCUGGUCUGAGAGGAUGACCAGCCACACUGGAACUGAGACACGGUCCAGACUCCUACGGGAGGCAGCAGUGGGGAAUAUUGCACAAUGGGCGCAAGCCUGAUGCAGCCAUGCCGCGUGUAUGAAGAAGGCCUUCGGGUUGUAAAGUACUUUCAGCGGGGAGGAAGGGAGUAAAGUUAAUACCUUUGCUCAUUGACGUUACCCGCAGAAGAAGCACCGGCUAACUCCGUGCCAGCAGCCGCGGUAAUACGGAGGGUGCAAGCGUUAAUCGGAAUUACUGGGCGUAAAGCGCACGCAGGCGGUUUGUUAAGUCAGAUGUGAAAUCCCCGGGCUCAACCUGGGAACUGCAUCUGAUACUGGCAAGCUUGAGUCUCGU